UGAAGAGGACACUGUAGAGUGAGCCUGCUCGGAACUGGUCCUGCAUGCACCUGGGCAGGGGCAGAGUUGCAUCUCUGCCUCGGCAAUGCCCUUCCUCAGGUCAUUCAGCAAACCUGCGCUGAAGCACCAAGGCGGACGCUGAGCCACAGGACUCCCCAGGCUGGAAAGCCGCGGGUGUUCCCAGGACCAGAGCAACUCCCAGGAAGCUGGGCUGCAGAGCGGCUGCCCCACCGGUCCAGCGGUGCUCGAGGCCGGGCAGAGGCUCUUCCUGCUCCCCUGGCUCCUGCCCUCCCUGCAGGGUGAAGCGGGCAGCAGGUGUGGCGAAUGUACAGAGGGGCUAUUACCGCUUUACAGGACAGCAGUGAGUAAUUCCAGCUGACGGCCAUGCCUUGCUGUUUUAAGGAAGAGUUCUAUUUUUAUGGAAAACACAUAAUUGAGUGAAAAAGCAGGCUAUUCUCUGAGUCAGGCGGCCACGCCUCUGGAAAGUCUCGCCGCCUGGCCAGGAGGCCAGAGCCUUCGCUCAGCACAGGCACCCACAGCGGGCGCCCCACCCUCGGCCACAACGAGACGCACUCCGAGAUAGAACGCAGGGCUCAACACCUGUGCCCCACGUCCCUUCUUCUAGCCAUUGGCCUUGAACUUCUCCGAGACUCAAGUUUCCUAUUUGUAAAAUGGGAAGAAAAACAGCUCUUGGCCCUGAGACUGCUGUGUAGAAAUAAAUGCACAGGCCUAUAAUCCCAGUCACGUGGGAGGCAGAGACAGGAAGAUCGCAAGUCCAGGCCAGUCAGGGCAGUGUAGUAAGACAUUGCCUUAAAGUUUUAUAAAAGGGCUGGGGGUGUAGUUCCCAGGGGAAGUGCUUGCUUUAAAUGGGUUCAGUUCCCUGGGGUGGGGUGGGGGAGCCCGGCGGAGGCUGGCACGUCACAAAGGGAUCCUCCCAUGUCUGCCCUGCCAUCCUUAUGUACCCGGCUUUUACUGUGUGCAGAUUUCACUUUGCUGCCUUUCCUCAUCUUUAAAAUGGGAAGAAGAGCAAUGGUUCCUGUGCCUCCUGGGUGGCUGAGGGGAUGUGGGGUCACUGCUUACGGCAGGGCCCGCACAGGCCAGUGCUGAGUGGCCACUGUGCUUGGCCAAGUUCCAGGCUUCCAGCCUGCCAGGCUGUCCAGCUGUCCGUUGGCACGGGUUCUAGUCUCUGCUUGGCCACUGUCGGCCCAGCUUCCUUAUACUGUAACAGCAGUGCUGUAAAGACCAACAAACACAAGCUGGGUCUGGUGGCACACACCUGUAAUCUCAGCACUGUAGGAGGCUGAGGCAGGAGGACCUGAAGUUUGAGUUCAGCCCGGGCAACUUAAGAGACCUAUCAGGACCCUCUCUCAAAA